rnacentral:rRNA from 1 species
AGUGAACGCUGGCGGCAGGCCUAACACAUGCAAGUCGAGCGGCAGCGGGAAAGUAGCUUGCUACUUUUGCCGGCGAGCGGCGGACGGGUGAGUAAUGCCUGGGAAAUUGCCCAGUCGAGGGGGAUAACAGUUGGAAACGACUGCUAAUACCGCAUACGCCCUACGGGGGAAAGCAGGGGACCUUGGGCCUUGCGCGAUUGGAUAUGCCCAGGUGGGAUUAGCUAGUUGGUGAGGUAAUGGCUCACCAAGGCGACGAUCCCUAGCUGGUCUGAGCGGAUGAUCAGCCACACUGGAACUGAGACACGGUCCAGACUCCUACGGGAGGCAGCAGUGGGGAAUAUUGCACAAUGGGGGAAACCCUGAUGCAGCCAUGCCGCGUGUGUGAAGAAGGCCUUCGGGUUGUAAAGCACUUUCAGCGAGGAGGAAAGGUUGAUGCCUAAUACGUAUCAACUGUGACGUUACUCGCAGAAGAAGCACCGGCUAACUCCGUACCAGCCGCCGCGGUAAUAC